rnacentral:rRNA from 1 species
UACAGAGGGUGCAAGCGUUGUUCGGAAUUAUUGGGCGUAAAGCGCACGUAGGCGGCUUUCUAAGUCGGGGUGAAAUCCUGGAGCUCAACUCCAGAACUGCCUUCGAUACUGGAGAGCUCGAGUCCGGGAGAGGUGAGUGGAACUGCGAGUGUAGAGGUGAAAUUCGUAGAUAUUCGCAAGAACACCAGUGGCGAAGGCGGCUCACUGGCCCGGUACUGACGCUGAGGUGCGAAAGCCAGGGGAGCAAACGGGG